rnacentral:tRNA from 1 species
UGGGGUAUGGCUCAGUGGUAGAGCGCUCAUCUAGCGCAUGCGAGGCCCUGGGUUCAAUCCUUAGCACCACAU